CCCCCUACCCUUCUUAACACACACUGCUCCCCAUACACACACACUCUACACACACACACACACACUACCCCCAUACACACACAUCGCCCACACACACAUACACUGCAAUACUCACACACACACUGCAACUGUUACACACACAUACUGUCCCACACAUACACUGCAUCCCUGACAUACACUGCCGCCCUCACUCACACACACACUGCUAACACACUGUCCCCCUCACACACACACUACAACCUUCACACACACAUACACUGCCCCCCUCACACACACACACACACUCUGCAUCCUUUACACAUUGCACCACUCACACACACCACAGCUCCUAUGCCCUACUACAGCCCCAUUUCCCAGCAGACCUCAGGUAAGUUGUCAAACUGUUCUUAAACGGUUUGACUACUUACUCUGGGAGGGGAUCCAGGCACUGUUGACACCAUAACCACUACACUGAGCUGUAGUGGUUA